CUUUAGAGUGAUAGCAUCUAGCAAUUUUUCGUACUAAUUCUAUUUUACAGUUGCUGUGUUACAGUCGCGGUGAACAAUUAUUAUCGGUGUAUUACUAGCGUAAUUAACGUAAACAGAGCAGGUAAAAUGUUUGUACUGGUAACGUCAAAAUGUUCUUCGACGAUCAUACGUGGAAGGAUUAUAGACUUGGAUGGGAUACUUAAAAUAUAGCACUACGUCUUAUACGAGCAGCAAACGAGUAAUUGAAUCACUCGCAAAUUAGCUGAAAUCCA
rnacentral:misc_RNA from 1 species